CCUACGGGUGGCUGCAGUGGGGAAUAUUGCACAAUGGGCGCAAGCCUGAUGCAGCCAUGCCGCGUGUGUGAAGAAGGCCUUCGGGUUGUAAAGCACUUUCAGCGGGGAGGAAGGCGGUGAGGUUAAUAACCUCAUCGAUUGACGUUACCCGCAGAAGAAGCACCGGCUAACUCCGUGCCAGCAGCCGCGGUAAUACGGAGGGUGCAAGCGUUAAUCGGAAUUACUGGGCGUAAAGCGCACGCAGGCGGUCUGUCAAGUCGGAUGUGAAAUCCCCGGGCUCAACCUGGGAACUGCAUUCGAAACUGGCAGGCUAGAGUCUUGUAGAGGGGGGUAGAAUUCCAGGUGUAGCGGUGAAAUGCGCAGAGAUCUGGAGGAAUACCGGUGGCGAAGGCGGCCCCCUGGACAAAGACUGACGCUCAGGUGCGAAAGCGUGGGGAGCAAACAGGAUUAGAUACCCCAGUAGUC
rnacentral:rRNA from 1 species